rnacentral:rRNA from 1 species
AUACGUAGGGUGCGAGCGUUGUCCGGAAUUACUGGGCGUAAAGAGCUCGUAGGUGGUUUGUCGCGUCGUCUGUGAAAUUCCGGGGCUUAACUCCGGGCGUGCAGGCGAUACGGGCAUAACUUGAGUACUGUAGGGGAGACUGGAAUUCCUGGUGUAGCGGUGAAAUACGCAGAUAUCAGGAGGAACACCGGUGGCGAAGGCGGGUCUCUGGGCAGUAACUGACGCUGAGGAGCGAAAGCAUGGGUAGCGAACAGGAUUAGAUACCCUGGUAGUCCAUGCCGUAAACGGUGGGCGCUAGGUGUAGGGGUCUUCCACGACUUCUGUGCCGUAGCUAACGCAUUAAGCGCCCCGCCUGGGGAGUACGGCCGCAAGGCUAAAACUCAAAGGAAUUGACGGGG